GACGAACGCUGGCGGCGUGCUUAACACAUGCAAGUCGAACGGAAAGGCCCUGCUUUUGUGGGGUGCUCGAGUGGCGAACGGAUGAGUAACACGUGAGUAACCUGCCCUUGACUUUGGGAUAACUUCAGGAAACUGGGGCUAAUACCGGAUAGGAGCUCCUGCUGCAUGGUGGGGGUUGGAAAGUUUCGGCGGUUGGGGAUGGACUCGCGGCUUAUCAGCUUGUUGGUGGGGUAGUGGCUUACCAAGGCUUUGACGGGUAGCCGGCCUGAGAGGGUGACCGGCCACAUUGGGACUGAGAUACGGCCCAGACUCAUACGGGAGGCAGCAGUGGGGAAUAUAGCACAAUGGGCGGAAGCCUGAUGCAGCAACGCCGCGUGCGGGAUGACGGCCUUCGGGUUGGAAACCGCUUUCGCGUGUGACGAAGCGUGAGUGACGGGAAUGGGUAAAGAAGCACCGGCUAACUACGG
rnacentral:rRNA from 1 species